rnacentral:rRNA from 1 species
GAAAUUGCACAAUGGGGGAAACCCUGAUGCAGCGCCGCCGCGUGGAGGAAUACGGUCCUCUGGAUUGUAAACUCCUGUCUUAUGGGACGAUAAUGACGGUACCUUAGGAGGAAGCACCGUCCAACUACGUGCCAGCAGCCGCGGUAAUACGUAGGGGGCGAGCGUUAUCCGGAAUUACUGGGCGUAAAGGGUGCGUAGGCGGCCUUUUAAGUCAGAUGUGAAAGGCUACGGCUUAACCGUAGUUAGCAUUUGAAACUAAAAGGCUUGAGUGCAGGAGAGGAGAGUGGAAUUCCUAGUGUAGCGGUGAAAUGCGUAGAUAUUAGGAGGAACACCAGUGGCGAAGGCGACUCUCUGGACUGCAACUGACGCUGAGGCACGAAAGCGUGGGGAGCGAAC